GCUGCUCGCCGUCGCCGGUCGCCGCCGUCGCCUCCGUCAAGGCCAAUCCUGCCGCCUCACCGCUCCUGCCACCGCACGGUUCCGCUGUCGACUCCCAUGAAUUUGCAAGAAUGAGUGAUAAUAGAUCGUGGAUGUACGCGAGAUACAAUGAUCGUGCUGCAUUUGAAACGGGACUUGAGAGUUUCCUCGAGUUUGCGAUAAAUCAAACAGCGUAUACAGAUGGAAUUGGUAACAUUAGGUGCCCGUGUAGGAAGUGUAAGAAUAAAGUCUUUGCAUCUGUACCUACAGUCAGAGAACAUGUUACUAGGCGUGGAUUUGUCCACAAUUACACGAACUGGUGUUAUCAAGGGGAAGCACCAGUGUAUAUGCCAGCAGAACAUACUAUAAUGGAUGAGGAUGAUGGGUCAUACAGUAAUUACCAAAGGAUGGUGCAUGAUCAUGCUGGACCUAGUAAUUAUCAAGAUCCUCCAAAUCUUGAUGA